UACAGAGGUCUCAAGCGUUGUUCGGAUUCAUUAGGCGUAAAGGGUGCGUAGGCGGCGCGGUAAGUCGGGUGUGAAAUCUCGGGGCUUAACUCCGAAACUGCAUUCGAUACUGCCGUGCUUGAGGACUGGAGAGGAGACUGGAAUUUACGGUGUAGCGGUGAAAUGCGUAGAUAUCGUAAGGAAGACCAGUGGCGAAGGCGGGUCUCUGGACAGUUCCUGACGCUGAGGCACGAAGGUCAGGGGAGCAAACGGG
rnacentral:rRNA from 1 species